UUUAUGCCCCAAUCUUCAUGCAGGGGCGUAGCAAGCAACUUUAAAGUGGUCAGGCCAACUUGCAAUUAAAGGUCAACUGUUUUUCUACUAUUGGAACUUUUGCAUACAGUGGUGAAUUUUUUACCUAAGAAAAAGGUCGUCACUUUUCCUCACCAAAACAGCAUGCACAUUAUCACUUACAAUAUUUACGACCAUUACCUACCCAGCUGCAAAAAGUGGUUAGACCAAAACCUGACCAGCCUGACCGCUUGCUACGGCUUUGAUCUUAUGUGCAACGUUAUGCUAUAAUUAUGUGAACAUUAUUUCUUACUCGUCCAGGUUCAGGUUCAGAAAUGUUGUGUUUGAGAUCACGUCAGGCAGAUAGAGAAGGUGGAGCUGGUCCUCCAGGACCUCCUUCAGCUGCAAUACGAGGGCCUGGCAAUCAUGAAGAUGUUUGGAAGGGCCAAAGUGAAUGUUAAUCUGCUCAUCUUCCUCAUGAACUUUUAAAAUCCUCAGAGUGUUAAAUUGGAUUUCAUUAACAAAUUGCAUGUAUUCAUUGACAAUUGCAUGUGAGCAUUCUUCAAUUAUUUAUAUCAUCUGCAUGUACUAUUGACACGUUGCAAUUGAUUAAUUAACGACCUAAUGUUCUAACAUACUAUGUACUUCGCUACUUUUCUCUAAAUUGUCAUUGAAUGAUAUAAUAGUCCUAUUCGUUUAA